CCUACGGGAGGCAGCAGUGGGGGAUAUUGCACAAUGGGGGGAACCCUGAUGCAGCGACGCCGCGUGGGUGAAGAAGCGCCUCGGCGCGUAAAGCCCUGUCAGCAGGGAAGAAAAUGACGGUACCUGAAGAAGAAGCCCCGGCUAACUACGUGCCAGCAGCCGCGGUAAUACGUAGGGGGCAAGCGUUAUCCGGAUUUACUGGGUGUAAAGGGGGCGCAGACGGCGAUGCAAGCCAGGAGUGAAAGCCCGGGGCCCAACCCCGGGACUGCUCUUGGAACUGCGUGGCUAGAGUGCAGGAGGGGCAGGCGUAAUUCCUGGUGUAGCGGUGAAAUGCGUAGAUAUCAGGAGGAGCACCGGUGGCGAAGGCGGCCUGCUGGACUGCAACUGACGUUGAGGCCCGAAAGCGUGGGGAGCAAACAGGAUUAGAUACCCCAGUAGUC
rnacentral:rRNA from 1 species